rnacentral:rRNA from 1 species
AUGCAUGCAAGUUGAGCGAAGCUUUUUGGUAGUUUACUACUAGAAAUGACUGAGCGGCGGACGGGUUAGUAACGCGUGGGAAUAUACCCAGUUCUAAGGAAUAGCCACUGGAAACGGUGAGUAAUACCUUAUACGCCCUUCGGGGGAAAGAUUUAUCGGAAUUGGAUUAGCCCGCGUUAGAUUAGAUAGUUGGUGGGGUAAUGGCCUACCAAGUCUACGAUCUAUAGCUGGUUUGAGAGGAUGAUCAGCAACACUGGGACUGAGACACGGCCCAGACUCCUACGGGAGGCAGCAGUGGGGAAUCUUAG